CCUACGGGGGGCAGCAGUAGGGAAUCUUCCACAAUGGACGAAAGCCUGAUGGAGCAACGCCGCGUGAGUGAAGAAGGGUUUCGGCUCGUAAAGCUCUGUCGGCAGUGAAGAAAGAUCGAUGUAGUAACUGGCCUUUAUUUGACGGUACUUACUUAGAAAGUCACGGCUAACUACGUGCCAGCAGCCGCGGUAAUACGUAGGUGGCAAGCGUUGUCCUGAUUUAUUGGGCGUAAAGCGAGUGCAGGCGGUUCGAUAAGUCUGAUGUGAAAUCCUUCGGCUCAACCGGAGAAUUGCAUCAGAAACUGUUAAACUUGAGUGCAGAAGAGGAGAGUGGAACUCCAGGUGUAGCGGUGAAAUGCGUAGAUAUAUGGAGGAACACCAGUGGCGAAGGCGGCUCUCUGGUCUACAACUGACGCUGAGGCUCGAAAGCAUGGGUAGCGAACAGGAUUAGAUACCCGAGUAGUC
rnacentral:rRNA from 1 species